GACGAACGCUGGCGGCGUGCUUAACACAUGCAAGUCGAACGGAAAGGCCCUGCUUUUGUGGGGUGCUCGAGUGGCGAACGGGUGAGUAACACGUGAGUAACCUGCCCUUGACUUUGGGAUAACUUCAGGAAACUGGGGCUAAUACCGGAUAGGAGCUCCUGCUGCAUGGUGGGGGUUGGAAAGUUUCGGCGGUUGGGGAUGGACUCGCGGCUUAUCAGCUUGUUGGUGGGGUAGUGGCUUACCAGGGCUUUGACGGGUAGCCGGCCUGAGAGGGUGACCGGCCACAUUGGGACUGAGAUACGGCCCAGACUCCUACGGGAGGCAGCAGUGGGGAAUAUUGCACAAUGGGCGGAAGCCUGAUGCAGCAACGCCGCGUGCGGGAUGACGGCCUUCGGGUUGUAAACCGCUUUCGCCUGUGACGAAGCGUGAGUGACGGUAAUGGGUAAAGAAGCACCGGCUAACUACGUGCCAGCAGCCGCGGUGAUACGUAGGGUGCGAGCGUUGUCCGGAUUUAUUGGGCGUAAAGGGCUCGUAGGUGGUUGAUCGCGUCGGAAGUGUAAUCUUGGGGCUUAACCCUGAGCGUGCUUUCGAUACGGGUUGACUUGAGGAAGGUAGGGGAGAAUGGAAUUCCUGGUGGAGCGGUGGAAUGCGCAGAUAUCAGGAGGAACACCAGUGGCGAAGGCGGUUCUCUGGGCCUUUCCUGACGCUGAGGAGCGAAAGCGUGGGGAGCGAACAGGCUUAGAUACCCUGGUAGUCCACGCUGUAAACGGUGGGUACUAGGUGUGGGGUCCAUUCCACGGGUUCCGUGCCGUAGCUAACGCUUUAAGUACCCCGCCUGGGGAGUACGGCCGCAAGGCUAAAACUCAAAGGAAUUGACGGGGCCCCGCACAAGCGGCGGAGCAUGCGGAUUAAUUCGAUGCAACGCGUAGAACCUUACCUGGGUUUGACAUGGAUCGGGAGCGCUCAGAGAUGGGUGUGCCUCUUUUGGGGUCGGUUCACAGGUGGUGCAUGGCUGUCGUCAGCUCGUGUCGUGAGAUGUUGGGUUAAGUCCCGCAACGAGCGCAACCCUUGUUCACUGUUGCCAGCACGUUAUGGUGGGGACUCAGUGGAGACCGCCGGGGUCAACUCGGAGGAAGGUGGGGAUGACGUCAAGUCAUCAUGCCCCUUAUGUCCAGGGCUUCACGCAUGCUACAAUGGCUGGUACAGAGAGUGGCGAGCCUGUGAGGGUGAGCGAAUCUCGGAAAGCCGGUCUCAGUUCGGAUUGGGGUCUGCAACUCGACCUCAUGAAGUCGGAGUCGCUAGUAAUCGCAGAUCAGCAACGCUGCGGUGAAUACGUUCCCGGG
rnacentral:rRNA from 1 species